UUUUGGACAAUGGGCGAAAGCCUGAUCCAGCAACGCCGCGUGUGGGAAGAAGGCCUUCGGGUUGUAAACCACUUUUGUACGGAACGAAACGGUUCGCCUUAAUACGGUGGGCUAAUGACGGUACCGUAAGAAUAAGCACCGGCUAACUACGUGCCAGCAGCCGCGGUAAUACGUAGGGUGCGAGCGUUAAUCGGAAUUACUGGGCGUAAAGCGUGCCCAGGCGGUUAUAUAAGACAGAUGUGAAAUCCCCGGGCUCAACCUGGGACCUGCAUUUGUGACUGUAUAGCUAGAGUACGGUAGAGGGGGAUGGAAUUCCGCGUGUAGCAGUGAAUGCGUAGAUAUGCGGAGGAACACCGAUGGCGAAGGCAAUCCCCUGGACCUGUACUGACGCUCAUGCACGAA
rnacentral:rRNA from 1 species